CCUCAGUCCCUCGUAUAGAAUGCCACGUAAACGUCCUGUUUUGUCAUCCCCCGUCCUCAGUCCCUCGUAUAGAAUGCCACGUAAACGUCCUGUUUUGUCAUCCCCUGUCCUCAGUCCCUCAUGAGGGACGAUGCAAGAGGAUCUUUUUCUCUCAUCCCCUGACGUCAGUCCCUCACCAUCGACGCACUGUGAAGAUCCCGUUUUGUCACCCCGCGUUUUCAGUCCUUCACCAUCAACACACCGUGAAAAUCCAACUUUGUCAUCCCCUGACUUCCGUUUCCGGAUGGAGACUGAAAAGGACAUAGAAGAGGAACCGACACCUUCAACAUCUGGUGGAACUACAGCAAGAGCGAGUUCCAGACACGUGUGGUUUAGACCUCGCUACGUUUCAAGUGACUCUGAUUAGAUUGGGAUCCGUAAAAACUGAGGACCUAUGUGGGAAGUCACAUUAGGACAUAUCAUCAUUUCUCUGUUUUUUUUGUUUUGUUUUAUUAAAGCCAAUGGAUUUCUAGCAAGCCUGUGGAAGCCUUAGGUAGCGCCUUGCACCGGGGCUUUUCUUUAUCCCGCUGCUAGAUGUAGCAUUUUGGAUGUUGAGGAUUCUGGCAGGACUCGGGAAGCCUUAGGUAGCGCCUUGCACCGGAGUUUUCUUCGUCUUUGUGUCUUCCUCUCAUCUUCCCCAUGUUUCAGGGUGAAAUAGCGGUUCUUCCCCACGCGGUGCUCUCCGAUAUAGUAAAUUAUUCUAUUCUGUUCCUCCGCUAAUCCACUCUCCAAGGUUUUAAUCUUUCAGGUUUUAGCUGCUCAUCGCUGGAUCCUUUCGUCGUCGUCCAUGUGGUUCCUGUCCUUCUGGACCCCUUGUUUUUCACACUGCUUGUUGGAUCUCCUCCGCCUGUAAUCCUCCACCUUCAGCACCACCAGUCAGGUGGAGGAAGAUAAGAGAACCCAGUUGACAAAAAAACAGAGCUUUGUGUUGAUGGAAGGAGGAUCAGGAAUAGAGCAGAGGACCUGCUGAUCUACUGGUUCUAGUAGAUUUUAUAAAUGGUUGGAUCUCCUCCGCCUGGAAUCCUCCGCCUUCAGCACCACCAGUCAGGUGGAGGAAGAUAAGAGAACCCAGUUGAAAUAAAAAGUAAGAACAUUUCUAUGUACACAGCAUAACUAAUCAUUUCAAAUAUAGUUGCAGAGAGCUGAGCUGAAAGUUAGAAGCUGUCUGCUGUUCAUGCAUAUUUUCCUCCUUAACUUUAUCUUCUCUCUUUAUUUCAUUUCUCUGUGAACUCAUGUGAUGACUGGAGUUGACCAACAAUUAAAUCAGAAGAAGACCUGCUCCACCUGCUGAUCUACUGGUUGUAACAGCUUGUGGGAAAGCAUCACUGGACCAAUCAGGCGAGAGAAGACAGAGAGGACUGAGGACUAAAACAAAAAUACUCUGCCUGCCAAAAAAGGCAGACGAUCCAGUGGCCCCAGGUUUACACACCAUCUGCUGGUUUGAGGCAGACCGACCGCUGGGGAGAUGGACCUCACCUGGCACCAUUACUCUGGAUGUAACAGGUAGCUCGACUCUCCUGUCAAUCAAAACAUCAAUGACUCGAGAAGCGGACAGCGAGGUUUCUGGUGCCUGGCUGGAGACAAGAUUCUGAUUAUUCAAGAGCCAAAACAAAACGUCAGAAUAAAUAGUUAGAAGGCAGAUUUGUUUUCUAUUUGUCGUUGUUUUCAUUAUUAAUGCUCCAUAACACAAAAUUCAUCAGUGCUGUAACUCUUGAGUUGAAUAAAAUGUUCUUCUUUCAAUCAGUUAUUUCUGGAGUCUUUUUAUUUGAACCAUAAUCAUUUUUGGAAACGUUACAUAUUAAAGGAACGCCCACAUUUUUAAUAGAACUUCAUAACUGAUCAAAGCACAAACUGGAGAACAGGUUUAAAAGAAAUGUUUUUUUAGUGUGAAUUCAUUUGUAGUUACAUAAAUACACAAUUCACAUCUUAAAAACAAACACAAGCCAGUCACACUGAAGAAGUUUCCUGAUGUUGACCUUCGACCCUUAGCUUCAACUGAUUCACUGAAAGGUUGGGUAGAAAUGUUACCCAGAGAACGCUCUUUUUCCUCAUGGACUCAUAACCAAUGAAACAAACUGGAAGAACUGGAAGCUGAACCAGUUGGUGGAUCAAGUCGGUCCACUCCAAGUAGCCAACACCGAUGGCCUUUGAAGCUUCACAGCUCUGACUCUGACUUAUGAAAACCUUUCCUCCAGUUUGAGUCGAGACUGUGGAAGGUUGUUUUUUUUUUACGGCCUGCUGCUUCUUCAGUUGCUGUGAACCAGAGUGACAAACAGGAGGAGUGAGCAGAGAGAGACGGCGCCAGUCAGGACGGCUUUCACCAGCAACACCGUCCAGCUGCCCGGCAUGAAGACAUGAGACGGACAUUACAGGCAAAAUAAUCUAUUACAAUAAGAGUUUGGCUGAAAUAUUUUUGCAACGACUGAGAAAUAUGAAAAAAAAACACCCGAAAAAAACAAAACAUAAAAUGAUUAAGUCUGGUUCUUUGUUGACCGCUACACAGUGGUCAACAAAGAACCAAGACAGAAGCUACAAACCUUUAAGUCACCAUGCCGAGUUAUGAAACAAACAGAAAAGCCAUAAAGCCAUGCAGUACAUGAAUCUUUUUGAUUUUAGUCUUUUUUUUCCCAGUUUUCCAAAACGAUAAACCUAACAGUUAACAUUUGAUGAUGAUGAUGUAUUUGUUUCCCAACCAUCUGAAACGCUGACAUUUUCAUACGUCCACUUCACAUUUUAAGUGCUGCUUUGCUUUUAUCUGUUACAUAAAAUUCCAGUAAAAU